AUCGAAGACAUCGUUUUUUGAAAGUAAAACUCUACCUUUAUUAUAAAAAAUUAAUUGGUUUAACUAGCGAAAGUGAAAUUGUUUAUCAAUGGAUAACUUCGUGUUAACAUUAGACAGUGAUAUAGGUUAUUAAUAAACACAGCCUAUUCAUAUAAAUAAAUGAAGUGUCUUAUUAGAAUCGAAACAUACAAGGAAAAUAGAUGUUAACUAAAAUGAAAAGAAAAAAGAAUUAUAGAAAGAAAUUCAUCAUCAGACGAGAAUGACAUUUUAAGCGACACUAGCUUGAGGUUUAUGAUGCAAAAUAAUAAUGAGAAAAAUAUCUCAAAACGUAGAAGUGCAGACUUCAAAUAUUUUCCAUUAGCGAGUUAACAUGUCACGGUCGACCAACAAAUUAAUCAAUCGUUCAUUGUGCUAAUAUUUAAAAUUAAAUUUAUAAUAUUUAUGCUAUUCUGUUAACAUAUACAUAGUUAUACAUUUUAUGGUAUUAUGGUUUUGUUUUAAGAUUAAUU